GACAGAGGAUGCAAGCGUUAUCCGGAAUGAUUGGGCGUAAAGCGUCUGUAGGUGGCUUUUUAAGUCCGCCGUCAAAUCCCAGGGCUCAACCCUGGACAGGCGGUGGAAACUACCAAGCUGGAGUACGGUAGGGGCAGAGGGAAUUUCCGGUGGAGCGGUGAAAUGCGUAGAUAUCAUUUGGAACGCCAAUGGUGAAAACAGGUAGCUGGGGCUGUGCUGACACUGAGACACGAAAGCCAGGGAGCAAACGGG
rnacentral:rRNA from 1 species